GUACUUCUGUUUCAGCAUGUGGCAUUGGUUGCAUUAUAAGGACUUCCCUGCUGAAUGUGCCUAAUGUAAGGUCUCUAGCUGGGAGGUGUAUGCAUGAUGCCUGUUAAACAGCAUUCUGAUAAAGUAGGCUGUUGCCUGUGAAAGCUUAUACCGCUCUGAACCAGAUAAUCUCUAAAUUGCUAUGCUGCCCUGCCUUCUGCCUGACUUUAGACAAACCUGGAGUAACUACCUCUGUUACAGGAUGUGAUUGCUCACCCACGCUCUCUGUGUGUAACUUGAUGAGGUGCUGAGGUUUAAGGGCUUGAAAUCUUAAUGUUUGUUUCAAUGCUGUUUUGCAUUUAAACUAUCGGUGUAACCUACUUAAUUUGUGGUUUUGUGGAUUCCUUUGAAACUGUGGAAUCCAGGGCUGACUGCAAUACCCACGAAAUCAACAACAACAAAAAAAACCUUAAUAAAAAAAUUGCUGGCUCCCCAGCAGACACCAGCAGUCCUUGCUGGCAGAAGGGGAAGGCACCAGCUGGCAGGACAGCACAAAGAGCAGCAGAUAAGAUGGCACCCACCCCCUUUUCCCUCUGCCCCCUGAGGCGUGAGGCCACCACAAAAUGCCUGCAAACAUAGCUCUACAUGCCAUGAGCAGGCUGCGGGAAACCCUUUGUCUUGCUGCAACUUAAGUAGGUCCUUAAUUAGUGGUUAUAACCUAUGUCAGUGUUUCCCAGAUUCUUCCAUCCCAUGGCACACUUACAUAAAUAAAUAAAUAAAAAAAAAAUGUGGCAUACCACCCCCUUGCUCUGCCCCCAACAGAUAAUGUGACCACUGCCACCACCUACCACCCCAUGCUGCUGCUGGUCUGCAGAGCGGGGGAGGGGGUGGUGUGUGGAACUGGCUGGAGCCAUGCCCCCCAAGACUGUUUCAGACGGAGCGUUCAUUUAUUUGUGUGACUUUUCCAAGACUGGCACACCUGUUCAUGUCUGAUAGUACACCAGUGUGCUGCAGCACCCUGGUAGGGAAAUGCUGACCUGUAUAUCAGAAUCAGAGCAGCAGUAGUGUGGAGGGAAUUCUGCAAGUAUUAAUGCUCUUAUAAACAAUUUUGGUAAAUCUGAACAACUGUUUUAAGAGGAGACCAAUAUGGUUUGCAGAAAGCUGUCCAGUGAAGAUAGGAGUGCUCCUCCCUUUUUAUGUUACUUUUACAAGCAACUAUGGAGGGUUUGGAGUUGGGGGCUGGAGUGGGGGAAAUACCAUUAGUAUUGACUGGUGAUUACUUCUUGGUCAGGGAAGUAGUUAAUUAGUAGUCAAGGAAUGCUAAUAAUUAAAUAAUGGGAUGUAGAAAAUUGACAUAUGGGUUAUUCAACGAUUUUAAGUGAAAGGAUUUAUAUGAAAUGAACUGUCCCCAAAUACUUUAGGUACUGCAGCCAGAAAUAGAAAAAACAGAAUGGAAAGAGGCAGAGUUGGAAAAAGAGGUGGAGAAAGGGGCUGUGCCAGACAAGAGGAGCUGCUGAAGAGAGCUUUUAUGAAAACAAUAGCAAGACUCUUUAAAAGAGGAUAGAAGUUCCUUGCCUAGCAGGGGGAGGGGAGCUCUAGAGGCAAAGAUACAAGCAGUAGAUGUCACAAAGAAAUUCUCAGUAUGUUUGAAGUCCUUAUUAUUAAGACUGCUCAUCAUACUAAGCAUGACUGUUUAUAAUGAAAAACUGUUUUAAAAAGCUACAGAGAGACUUCUGUACUCUUGCCCUGUCUAUUCCUGGCUGCUUUUCAGUACAGCUGAAAACAAAAUGACUUGUGCAUGAUGCAAACACAAUGGGUGGAUACAUUCCUUCACUGGGAAUGGCAGAAGAUUUCCAAACUAGUAUACUUAAAGGGCGUACGAAGUCAGCAGAACAUACAAGGGAUGAAUCUUGGCUAAGCUAUAAAAUUAGCCAUUGGAGUGCCAUCCAAUGUUGGACCUUAAACUUUAAAAAAACUGUAUUAGGUCCUCCAGUCUUACUUGAUGGAUGAAGUGUGUCCGACGGAAAGGAAAGAGAGUGACUGCAUUGGAGAGUCUGAAGACGUAGAGAAGUUGUCCUUUGCUUGGAAUACACGUUAUGAACCCUUUCUGGAGCAUGUCUACAAGUUCUGCACGCAAGAGACCUGAAGCUGAAGAAAAGACUUUGACUGGAGAGCUGAGAACCAGUCCUCCACGCACCUCUACAAAGAAACAGUUGCCUUCUAUUCCUAAAAAUACUGUGCCAGUAACUAAACCUGCUUCCCCUGCCCCUUCUUCCCAGUCUACAAAUGGAACACAUGCCUCCUAUGGGCCUUUCUACUUGGAGUACUCCCUCCUGGCAGAAUUCACCUUGGUUGUAAAGCAGAAGUUGCCAGGAGUCUACGUGCAGCCUUCUUACCGAUCAGCAUUAAUGUGGUUUGGAGUAAUAUUUAUUAGGCAUGGACUCUACCAGGAUGGGGUGUUUAAAUUUACAGUCUAUAUUCCUGAUAACUACCCAGAUGGUGAUUGCCCGCGCUUGGUUUUUGAUCUACCGGUCUUUCAUCCACUAGUAGAUCCCCUCUCAGGUGAACUGGAUGUGAAAAGAGCAUUUGCAAAAUGGAGGCGGAACCAUAAUCACAUAUGGCAAGUACUAAUGUAUGCUCGUAGGGUCUUCUACAAGAUUGAUACAACAAGUCCUUUGAAUCCAGAGGCUGCAGUGCUAUAUGAAAAAGACAUUCAGCUGUUCAAAAGUAAGGUUGUAGACAGUGUCAAACUAUGCAGCAGUCACUUGUUUGACCAGCCUAAAAUAGAGGAUCCCUAUGCAAUUACGUUCUCUCCAUGGAAUCCAGCUAUACAUGAUGAAGCUAGAGAGAAGAUGUUGACUCAAAAAACCAAAGAGCUACUGAUAUGAUAGUUUGGUUAAGAUGUAAUGGAUUUCAGAGGAUAAUAAAACAAAACCAAACCCCAGACAAACCCCAAACUUUAAAAUGGGAAACACUUGGCUACAUCAGAAAUCUGGACAUGAGGACAGAAGAAGUCAGAAGAUCAGCACUGCAAAAGCAUGCAUGUGUCUGGCCUUUCAUGGGUAAAGCCUGGUUCAGUUCAGCCUUUCAGCAAAGAAGAGAAGACGAUGCCUACCUAGUGUUUAUGGACAUUGACACACAAACACUUCAUGCGGGUGGAGGGAAUGUAAUGGAGAGAGACGCAGCAAAGCAGUGACUUUUUUUUUUUCCUUCCUUCCUGAUCAUGGAUUCAUAAUCUGAAUGACAGCAGUGACUCCAGUAAAUCUACUCAGUGGAGUGCUUUGACUCUUAAUGUUUUACAUAUUCAUUAGUUUUAAAGGAAGCCUGGAGUUUGGAAGUAUCACUGAAUAUUACAGUGCUUCUCUUAGAAAACUCUCUGGGGUGGGUAACUCCUCAGGGUGCUAAAAUGCCUGGAGGCUUUGGGUUGCUUUUCUUUUUAAGCUUUUAUUUUUGCCCCUCCAGGAAUAGCAUUUUUGAAUUUCUAAAAUGCUGGCAGAAAAAUUAGCAGGAAAAAAUGGUGCCAGAGGUAAGCUGUGUUUAUGUAAACUAAUAGCAGAGUUAAACACUAUAUAUUUAAUGGUUCUAAAUACAUUGGUUUCUAUUGUAAAUACAUUAGCGUUUGAAAUUUGUAAAUAGCUGGUCAAAUGACUCCCUCUAGCACUUUCAAGGAAGGCAAGGCUGAGUUGGUACUCAGUAUAUAGUGCAUUAUUAACUUCAAAAAUACGUUGUCACUAAAAUGCACAUUAGUCUGACAAAAUGAGAGCAGUGGUAGGCUUACUAGGUUUUUAUUGCAGAGGCUAAAAUGAAAGCUUUUAAUGAGGUGUUUUUUAUCUAAUAAAAUCUUAAAUUCUCAAGUUGUUUAUGCAGCAGGGAUUACUAAACUAGUUUGACUAAUGUGUGUUUAAUAGUGACUUCUUAAAACAAUUAAAAAAAAUCAUGGU